rnacentral:tRNA from 1 species
AGGCCUGUGGCUCAAUGGUAGAGCGUUCGACUCAAUUGCCAAACGUCACGGGUUCGAAUCCCAUGGGGUCCA